GUGGAAAAAGAACGAAAAUUUGCAUUAAAUGCAACCCUACAAUGGCCGGUUUUGCAUUUUCCCUUUGGCUUAAUUCUUAGUUUUCUUUAGCCUCUUCUUCUCACAUGUUCAUUCGUCAUGUUUGCUGCAAUAGUUUAUAUUAAUUUGCCAUGUGUUAGAAGAGUGCAAAUAUAGAGUACCGGUUUUCUCGUUAUUUUUGCAACUCUUCUAUCAGCCAUCUUCGUCGUUGUCUUUCAAGAGUUUUUUUUUUGUCAAACGGAGAGACGACGACCAGUCAUUUGUAGUGGAGUGAAUUUUUGUUCUUGUGUGUUUUAUAUAUUUUCGCUUUUAAUAAAUAGUUUUCAACUGCAAAAUAUCAUUUUUGUACAAAUUUCAUUUCGGAAUAUGCAAUGGACGUGCUGUUUGACAUUUAUAGAAGCAAUAUUUAUUAAACCUCCAUAAAGUCCAAAAGAGCCUGACACAGAUAUAUAGCAAACAUAUUUGCAAAUAACAACAACAAAAAUCAUAUAUUUACUAUUUAAUGAAAUACUAAAACAAUUAUUUUG